GAAAUGCGAUAAGUAGUGUGAAUUGCAGAAUUCAGUGAAUCAUCGAAUCUUUGAACGCACAUUGCGCCCCUUGGUAUUCCAUGGGGCAUGCCUGUUCGAGCGUCAUCUACACCCUCAAGCUCUGCUUGGUGUUGGGCGUCUGUCCCGCCCCCGCGCGUGGACUCGCCCCAAAUCCAUUGGCAGCGUUCCUUGCCCCCUCUCGCGCAGCACAUUGCGUUUCUCGAGGGCGGCUCCGGGACGCGAUCCAGCAAGAUGACCACCGUCUUUGACCUCGGAUCAGGUAGGGAUACCCGCUGAACUUAAGC
rnacentral:misc_RNA from 1 species